AUACGGAGGGUGCAAGCGUUGUUCGGAAUCACUGGGCGUAAAGGGCGCGCAGGCGGUUUGGUAAGUCAGAUGUGAAAGCCCACGGCUCAACCGUGGAAGUGCGUUUGAAACUGUCAGACUUGAGUACUGGAGGGGAAAGUGGAAUUCCCGGUGUAGAGGUGAAAUUCGUAGAUAUCGGGAGGAAUACCGGUGGCGAAGGCGACUUUCUGGCUAGAUACUGACGCUGAGGCGCGAAAGCGUGGGGAGCAAACAGAAUUAGAAACCCUUGUAGUCC
rnacentral:rRNA from 1 species